CCCUCCCUAAUCCUCCCCCAUUACCCUCCCUCAUCCUCCCCCGUUAACCUCCCUCGUUACCCUCCCUAAUCCUCCCCCGUAACCCCUCUAACUCCCAGGUCUUUGUGCUGUGCUGAUAUAUAUAUAUAUAGACUAAAGCUUUUCAGGGUCAUCAUCAAUGUAAAUGACAAUGAGACACGUGAUUCCUCCCAGUUCAUCAGUCAAGUCUACUAAAAAGCCAUAGAGCCUCAUUGUAAACCAGCGGCAGAAAGGAAACCUGUUAACACGCAGCGUCGUCGUGUCUCUUCAAUAGAAGACUAAUGGAUCACAGGAUAAUAUCGUCUGAAACACGAGAGAAGCUAGGAGCCCGGGGCUCCGUGGCGACUAGGCAGCUAUAGGGGGAUUGUACAUUGCUCAUAGUUUAAACUUUCUUUCUAUAAAAAUUCCUCAACUUCCUUUUGUUGAUUUCAAGCAUAAACGUUGUCCAGCUUUUCCACGGACAACAUCGUCCCUUUCCUUCCUCUCUUCUUCCUCGGUUUGGCAUGACGGUCGUAGUAAUGACUAGGAACAUUACAUACUACUACACUGGGUUGAGUUAGAGAGAGAGAGAGAAACAGAGAGAGAGACAGAGAGACGAAGAGAGCGCGAGAGAUGAAGAGAGAGAGAGAGAGAGACGAAGAGAGAGAGAGAGACGAAGAGAGAGAGAGAGACGAAGAGAGAGAGAGACGAAGAGAGAGAGAGACGAAGAGAGCGAGAGAGAGAGAGAGACAAAGAGAGCGAGAGAGAGAGAGAGAGAGAGAGGAAAAGAGAGAGGAAAAGAGAGAGAGAGAGAGAGAGACGAAGAGAGAGAGAGACAAAGAGAGAGAGAGGAAAAGAGAGAGAGAGGAAAAGAGAGAGAGAGGAAAAGAGAGAGAGAGAGACAAAGAGAGAGAGAGAGAGAGGAAAGAGAGAGAGGAAAAGAGAGAGAGAGAGAGAGACGAAGAGAGAGAGAGACAAAGAGAGAGAGAGAGAGACAAAGAGAGAGAGAGAGAGAGAGGAAAAGAGAGAGAGAAAGAGAGAGAGAGAGAGAGAGAGAGAGAGAGAGAGAGAGAGAGAGAGAGACGAAGAGAGAGACAGAGAGACGAAGAGAGAGAGAGAGAGAGAGAGAGAGAGACGAAGAGAGAGACAGAGAGAGACUUGGGUGCAGCGUCACGUCUCAACAGACAGAAGUCUUGUCCCUCGUCUAACCGUCAUCUCCACAGACACACAAUAACACCCAGUGAUAACGGAUCAGAGGGCUUUAGUGACCUGGUCCCUUCUCCCUGAUGGUUUAAGGUUAGGAUGUAAGGAGGAGAGAUGAUCCUACAUCUGUGUUAAAGGGGAGGACUUGUGCCCAAAAGCAUGGUAUUCCCUGAACAGCCUUGAAGAACCAAAAUCAGAUUUAGAACCCCUUUCCUGAGUCAGGCUAAGAGCCAAUCAGAACCCCUUUUCCUGAGUCAGGCUAAGAGCCAAAUCAGAACCCCUUUUCCUGAGUCAGGCUAAGUGGCGGUCCUCUGAAACAAUAGCAACUAGCACCAUGCUAACAGCGCCAUGCUAGCAGCACCAUGCUAGCAGCACCAUGCUACCCUGAAAUGUAGUUAACUCAUCCCACGUGACAGUACCCUCUGCUGGGUUAGAUCAGCACAGAGACACCCCUCAUACCACCACACUACCAGCCUGUCUACCCUGUCAGAGCACAACAACACACACUAACAUACACACACCAUCCAGGCCUCCUAGUCUGCAGAGAGAGAGACAGACAGGCCUCCUAGUCUGCAGAGAGAGAGACAGACAGGCCUCCUAGUCUGCAGAGAGAGAGACAGACAGGCCUCCUAGUCUGCAGAGAGAGACAGACAGGCCUCCUAGUCUGCAGAGAGAGAGACAGGACGCAGACUAGGAGGCUGUCUUCUCUCCUCUCCUUCCAUCUUUAAAUAAUCCAAGUGCAAAUCCAAAAAGCUCCUCAGUUCAGCGUCUCAAUAAAGUUAUUAUUAACACCUCAGUUCAGCGUCUCAAUAAAGUUAUUAUUAACACCACAGUUCAGUGUCUCAAUAAAGUUAUUAUUCACACACACAAAAAUAAACCUGGUUUCCAAUGUUUCAUGCAACAGUUUGUUAAAACAAAAAAGUGAGAUAAGCCAAAAAAAUAUAUAUAUAUCUGGAAUUAAGUAAACAAAUAUUAUUAUUGUUGUUGUUGAUUGAAUGAUAUUUGGUAGAGCGGUUGUUUAACACGGUUGAAUACUGGCACAGCACUGGCAGAAUAAUACUCAAGGGGGUUUGUAUUGUACGCUAAUGCUUUUAAGUUAUUCAGUACAGUCAAGGAACGCGACGUCAAAACAACACAACUAGCAACUUCUACCAGUCAAAUAAAACUACUGGGAGAGAAACAACAGUUUUUAUUAUUAUUUUGUUCGUUUUUUUUUUUUAAAGACACUAAAUAAAAAUCGAAGUAAAUAAAUGAAGGUCCAUGGCUUUGCCUAAUGCUGUUUUGAAGCUUUCACACAUUGUGCAUCAUCAUAACUCAACAAUCAACAUUGUAAAUAGUGGCUAAAUCUAUGUUUAUUAUUUAAAGGCAUUGUGUUUACGACCAACGAUAGGUUACAUUCACCCCCCCAGCGAUGACAGACAGAGAGCCAUCUAGGGAGGUAUGAAGAAGCCAAAACACCCCCUUCCCGAUUCAACAGGACCGAUUCUAAAAUGGCUGCCUGCUCCCCACACCAGCAGUAGUGCACUAAAGGGAAUAACAACGGGAGUCUUUAGAGCCACACAGAUGAGACUACCAGUCUUACCUGUCAAGACUACCAGUCUUACCUGUCAAGACUACCAGUCUUACCUGUCAAGACUACCAGUCUUACCUGUCAAGACUACCAGUCUUACCUGUCAAGACUACCAGUCUUACCUGUCAAGACU
rnacentral:lncRNA from 1 species